GGCUCCAUUGCAUAGUGGCAGUGCAUCUGUCUCGUAGUAACAGAAGGUGCGAGUUCGAUUCUCGCUGGAGCCA